GGAACUGCAUUUGAAACUGGCAAGCUAGAGUCUUGUAGAGGGGGGUAGAAUUCCAGGUGUAGCGGUGAAAUGCGUAGAGAUCUGGAGGAAUACCGGUGGCGAAGGCGGCCCCCUGGACAAAGACUGACGCUCAGGUGCGAAAGCGUGGGGAGCAAACAGGAUUAGAUACCCUGGUAGUCC
rnacentral:rRNA from 2 species